AAUGUCUGUGUCCCCUCAAAAUUCAUAUGUUGAAGCUUUCAUUCCCAAAGUGACGAUCUUCAGAGGAGGACACAGCCAUCUGAAUCCACGAAGAGGGCUCUUACCAGAACCUGCCAUGCCGUCCCCCUGCUCCUGAAUUCCCAGCCUCAGAACUGUGAGAAAUAAAUGUCUGUUAUUUAAGACCCCCAGUCUGUGGCUGUUUGUGAUAGUGUCAGCUGGCGAGGGCACUGUCCCUUGCUUUGAAUGUGCUUCUCAUAAUUGAAUGUGGCUCUUAGCGGAUCAGCCAUAGUUCCAGGAUCGAGUCCCUCAUUGGGCUCCCUGCCCAGC